rnacentral:rRNA from 1 species
UACAGAGGUCCCGAGCGUUGUUCGGAUUCACUGGGCGUAAAGGGUGCGUAGGUGGCGAGGUAAGUCGGAUGUGAAAGCUCGGAGCUCAACUCCGAAAUGGCAUUGGAAACUACCUUGCUCGAGGGUUGGAGGGGGGACUGGAAUUCUCGGUGUAGCAGUGAAAUGCGUAGAUAUCAGGAAGAACACCGGUGGCGAAGGCGGCUCACUGGCCCGAUACUGACGCUGAGGCACGAAAGCGUGGGGAGCAAACAGG